GGAGGAGACAGUUGAUUUGGCUUCCACUUCUGGGUCACUUCAGUCCAUAACUGAAGGACAUCAGGGCAAGAACUCAGGACCUGAAGCCGAAACCACAGAGGACUGCUGCUCACUGGCUCAUGCUCGGCUUUCAUGUACAGCCCAGGCCCCUGUGCCUAGGAAUGGUGCCAUUGACAGUGGACUGAGCCCCCUCACACAAUCAACAACCAAAUGGAUUCGACUUAAAAGCAUUCUUUGGACUAGGUAUGAUUAGACGUGUAUACAAUCCCAACAUUCGAGAUGCUGAAGCAGAACUGAGUCUCAGGUCCUCCCGGACCACACAUCGUGAGUUGUCUGGGCUGCAUAUUGAGACCUCGUCACGAAAAGUAACUUUUGAGUUGCUGAUGGUGCUCAGAAUUCAUGUCGUUUUUCCGAAUCCCAACUAAAAUUUGAAAUGAGUGCAGCCUCUGUGCUGCAGACUCACCGGCUGGAACGCAUUUUACUGAAAUAUUCGUGCAAGCGUGGGAAAGGAGAUACAGGAGAAAGGCCACCACUGUACUGCUUAAACUGAAAACUGUCUUGUCCACCCUGCGGAGGACAUAUGGGCAGCAGUGGCUUCUGCUGUAGGAAGCCCCACUGGGACUGAGCUGAGGUGGCAGCACAGAAAGAGAUCCUCUAUGGGGGUGUGACAGAGCUUAAAUAAAGAUAUGCUCAUUUAUCCGGUCUGUCUGUCAGUCAGUCCAUCUGCCUGUGGAGUUUUCCCUGAUGCAGUAAAAGUUGACAACCGUAUGCCUGAAUGGUGACGAACAGUGACUUCUGGUCCAGUCUUGU
rnacentral:lncRNA from 1 species